CCUUCAAUAGGCUCAAGAUGGGAGAGUCAGCCUUGCUUUAUGAUGGGGACCUUGUGUGUGACCAUGUGGUCACAGUGCCCCCUGCUGGCAGACUCUAUCAGGGCUCUGGGGCUGUUUGUGUGGGAGAAGCCAAGCUGGCCUGCCUGGCUCAAUAACCCACUUACUUUGACAGCCCCUAGAGACCCUGUCUGAGACCUCUUAGGGUGCCAAGAGGGGAGAAUUAGUUUUUAAGUCUAUGGUUUUCUCUUAAGUUUUAUCAGAGUUCUUUUUAUGAAGCAAUAAAUCCAUUUUCCUCUUGGUAAUGGAUGACCCUCCACAUAUCAGUGACCACUCUGCCUAUUUUAAGAUUGAGAGGGGAAGGGAAAUUAAAAUGCCAGACAGAGUGACACAUGCUUUCGUCCCAGCACUUGGAAGGCUGAAGCAGGCAGAGUUUGGGGCCAGCCUGGUCUACAUGGAGAGUUCCAGGGCUACAUAGUGAGACUCUGAUAUUCUGCUGGUGACAAACCCAGUUGCACCUGGGUGCUCUGUCCUGAGUGACACGUCCAGGGAGGGGCAUGGGCAAAGAAAAGCUCUGACUGCCCGGUACUCCAGGAAGGUGGGCUGUUCCCUCUGCUCGGUUCAAAGUAGGUAGGCCAGUCCAGAAGCUUCCAUCUCUGUUUCCUGUCAACUCAUAACCCCAAGGGUUGUUAUGUGGUGAUUCCAGGAGCACUAUAGGCCAAAUAGCUUCAGGAUGGAGUGAGGGCGGGCAUAGGUGAGAGGCCCCCAGGCCAAGUGUAGGCUCUGUAGUAACAGUGAGCUACAUCUUGGCUCCAGUCGGUUUAAACAGUAAAGUCAUUACCCCCAUAACAGCUGCUGGAAGCCUGUCUCUGUGGCUUCUUUUAGUCCAGUGGUGGAGCUCACUCUUUGCAAGGAGAAGGACUUAGGUUCUGUUUCCCAAAAGAACUGGAUCGGCAUUUUCAAAAACACACCUCUCAGAGUGCUGGUUUGUGAUGCCUUGAUGGUCGUUUUCUUUGGGGAAGUGUCUAGUCAAAUAUCGGGUAUGCAGAGUUAGGGUACCCACCACGCUUUGCCCAUGUUUGUAAACAUUGCAGCUGUCUGAGAAGGGGGUGUAGCACCAGGUGUGGUGGCAAGAGGCUCCUCUCUGAGUUUGAGGCCACAUGUUGAGUUCCAGGUUAGUCAGGACUACACAAUGAGACCCUGUUUUGUUUAAAGAAAAUCCACAAGUGUGCUGUCAGAAUGGUAGAGCUAAUGAAAAGUGGCACAGGCCUGUAAUGCCAGCAUCAGGAAGCAAGGAAUGGAAUGUAGUCGCUUCACACACAAGGGUGUGACCCGCAGCUGAGCCUGGAGGGACUAAACAUAGGAGCCAUGCCCUUCCUGCAUGUGUGACACAGGGGCCACUUGCAGAAGGUCCUGCAGUGUUAAGACUGUAGACUCCGGGGCAGGGCAAGUAUGUAGCUUAGUUGGUAGCAUGCUUGCCUAGCUUAGACAAAGCCCUGGGUUUGAUGCCCAGCCCCAAAUAAAACUGGGCAUGGUGGCACAUGCCUGUUAUCCCAACACUUGAGAGGUGGUAACAUCAGGAUCAGGGGUUGAAGUCAUCUUCGGUCACAUAGUGAGUUUGAAGGCAACCUGGGUUCCAGGAGAUCCCGUGUUUUUAAAACAACAAACGAUUGUCUAUGGGCCUCGCCUGUGUAUUUAUUUGAUUCUGGUGCCUCCCAGAGGUUCAGAUGCAUAAAGGAAGAGGGAAGUAGCUUGAACUACUGACAAAGCCCCUCCCUGCUAGGGACAUACUGAGGUUGGUUAGACUUGACCUGUGUUGUCCCCAGCAGCACUGAGGGGCCACACCUUUUGAGCAUGACAAUUUAAGGGAAUGUCCUAGGAUUGAGAAACUAGACAUUCAGAUGGAAAAGAGCCCAGAGCCAACAUUGCUUGAGGAUCAGAGGUAUCAGCCAGCAGCAGGGAACUCCCUAGUCAAGGGCCAUUCUGCCCCGAUUUGGCACAAAGUCUACAUGUUUUCCUAGUGUCUUUGAAUUACAGUAGCAGCCUAGAACAAAGUAGAUGCUUGGAGAAACUGUCCCAGAGAGAGAGAGAGAGAGAGAGGAGCUUGCUCACAGUGAGAACAAGGACUAUCAGGUGGCCCUCAGUCACUGAAGCAGCCAAGGCCCUCUAAGCCAAAACAUCCCAUUGAAAACAACAGCCCAAGGAGUGCCAAGCUUCCAAUAGAGCAGUAAAACCCAAGGAAGGGGUUUUGCAAGCUCAGGAUGGUCUCCCGUGUCUUGGAGCCAAAGCUUUCUCAGGUAUGGGACAAGCUAUUUGUACAAGGGUCAUUUGAGCCAUGGAGGCUGAUGGGUACUUGGAGGAAUAAUUCCCAGAUCACGUCAACCUCAAGGGGGGUAGCCUGAGAUAAGGACAGAACCACAGGCUAGACACGGGCAGAAGCACUAGCCUUUUCAUCUUUCCCCUUGUCCUGCAAGCUCUGGAGAUGGGAGGAACAGGAAGUGACACCCAGCCUUGUGGUUUCACUUGAUGAGCACAGGCAGAGCCAGUCUCACUUGCACCUCUGGAGACCACAGGGUCUAGACACAUCAAGGAUAGCUUCUUCUAGGCCACUGCACUCAUCACUUUCUGCUGGGGCCUAUUCACAGCUGGCUCCAACCUUCAUUAAGAUCAAAGACAAGGUACAGGCCUUUGGGAGCUACUUUCUUGUGUUAUGUCCCCCAUGCUGCAAUCCAUAAGUUCUGGUCAAAACUUGCACAUAGCUAGGCAGUGGUGGUGCACACCUUUAACCCCAGCACUCUGGAGGAAGAUACAGUCAGAUCUCUGAGUUCAAGGCCAACCCGGUCUACAGAGCAAGUUCCAGGACAGCCAGGGCUACACAGAGAAACCCUAUCUCAAAAAACCAAACACUUGCUGGGCAGUGGUGGCAAAAAUGCCUUUAGUCCCAGCACUCAGGAGUCAGAGGCAGGUGGAUCUCCUUGAGUUCAAGACCAGCCUGGUCUACAAGAGCUCAUUCCAGGAUAGCCUCCAAAGCCACAGAAAAACCCCCCCAAAAAAGUAAACACUUGUAUGUAAACCCUUACCAUGGUCUUGUACAUGCUAGGCAGUCUAAAGGGACUGGCCUAGGCCCUAUAGACACUGAAAAUGGGCAGAGGGACACAUCCAGUAUUGCAGUCAUGUGGACAGGACUGUCCCAGAGCAGCACAAACACAUUCAGCUAAGUAGAGUCAUGGGAGUCUUUUUGCUUUGCUUCAAGGCAGGAUCUCACUUGUCUCUUUAGUUGGCUUUGACCUGGUCAGCUUUCUGAGUGCCAAGGAUUGUAGGUUCACAGAUAUGCCCUGCUCAGUGGAAUUUGUUGCAUUUUCCUGUCAGCCUAGGCAGAUACACCAUCUGGAGAGACUGGUGAUGGGUAGGGACAAGCUUAUGACAGCCUGUGGUGAAAGUGUCCUGCUCAGAGCUCUGCAGUUGUCUCAACAGAGCUAGGCUAUGGGGGCCAUUACAGCCUCAGUGCUGUUACCUAUGAAGGACACUAAGACAGGUUCCCAUGGGCUUUGGGGGCAUUGAGGUUCCUUAUCUGUGCAAGUUACCAGGGUCCAACUAGCUACUUUUCCUCACACAUAGACCAUGGCCUGUGAGGAUAAGAGCGCCUGAAUGGUUCAGGGGGGCUUGCUUAUCCUCAGCCUGUAGCCCUUCCUUGGGUUGAGGGUCAAGGUGAGACUGUCCCCAAGCUCUAACUCACUCUGUGGGCAGAGCCUCCUAAAUGUUCAGGAGAGUCAGUGUCCUCUAGGAAGAAGGCAUCAUGGCCCUGCCAACACAGCUACCAUCUGUACCCCUUGGUCCCUGCAGUGAGUCAUUGUUACAUGGAAAGUUCCAAGACAGGUCCAUGGGUCACUUCCUAACCUUGACUUCUCUGAGCGAAGCACAGAGGUUAGCAGCAUAUGUCAUUUUCAGGAAAAUCUUGAGUAUCAUUUCCUACAAUGAAAUGGAGGCAUCUGUGCCCUCACAGAGUGGCUAAGGGGACCUGUAGCUAAGUCACAUGAGCAUGGUGUGUGUAGCAUGAGACAGAAACUUAACCAUCUUGGCACUAGAGAAGGACAGCCAGUACAGGGAAUGAGGCAUCCCCUCCCUCCUCAUGUAACAGGACACUGACUCAAGGUGACUGACUAUGCCAGACUGGUAGCCAAAUAAAAAUGGUAAGGUCAGUACCACUGACCUGGGUCCCCUGAGAACUUCUACAGUGGAGCCUUAAGUUCUCUUCUUCCCCACUUUUCCAUUUUGUCUUUGGCCAAAGAGUUUUAGGAGCAGAGGUCCCAGCCCUGGGUGGUCCUUCUAUACCACCUUUUUGAAUGACUGAUUGACCAGGUGUGUGUGUGUGUGUGUGUGUGUGUGUGUGUGUUGGUCUGAGAUGUUGUGGUGUUCCUGUAUCAAGAGAGAUGUGUAGGGGUGCCUGUGUGCUGUAACACCUGUGUGCAUGUAUGUGCGUGUUUUCUGAGAUGCACUGGUGUGCCUGUGUGCUGUAACACCUGUGUGCAUGUAAGUGCGUGUGUUCUGAGAUGCACUGGUGUGCCUGUGUGCUGUAACACCUGUGUGCAUGUAAGUGCGUGUGUUCUGAGAUGCACUGGUGUGCCUGUGUGCUGUAACACCUGUGUGCAUGUAAGUGCGCGUGUUCUGAGAUGCACUGGUGUGCCUGUGUGCUGUAACACGUGUGUAUGUAAGUGCGUGUUUUCUGAGAUGCACUGGUGUGCCUGUGUGCUGUACACCUGUGUGUAUGUAAGUGCGUGUGUUCUGAGAUGCACUGGUGUGCCUGUGUGCUGUAACACCUGUGUGCAUGUAUGUGCGUGUGUUCUGAGAUGUACUGGUGUGCCUGUGUGCUGUAACACCUGGAGGCAGAGGAAGGAAAGGCCCAUUGUGUCCCUUUCUGUUACUAGGAGCAUCCAGGCAGGUUACAAUCCAGGUCAUGUCAAAGGUCCAGCCCAAGCCUUAGAGUGAGGCCUGAAGGUGUGCUCUUCUUAUGUUCAUCAGGGUCACAUAAUGUCACUGAUAGCAACUGACCUUGGGUCUUACCUGUCACUUUACUGUUCCUGGCCCCCAGCAUACUCCUUGGCACACAGUAAGCACUGAAUAAAUGUAUGCUGAAAAUGAUGAAGAACUCCUCUGUGGCUCCCACGUCUCUUUCUGCUGGGAUCACACCACCCUUGCUCAUGCUGCAGCCUGUGUAGGAGGGACUAUGAAGUCCAGGAGCAGGAGAGGGGACGGGGCCACUCAGGAAAGGACUCAGGGAGGAGAUGCUAGGAGGUGAGGCCUGCAAACUUGGACGGUGGGCUGUGCCCCCUCUGCUUUCGUUGUCACCAUCCCACACCCACACCCAGCUCUGGAUGGAGGCAGCACAGACAUCUCUUUCUCCAGGAUAAGCAGAGCCACAGUGUGAGCUCUGUGGCCAGGCAGGAGCAGCUUGACUUUGACCUUGACCUCAAGGACGAACCAGGAUGUGGAAACUUCAGCCCCCACUUGAGGAGACAGCAGUUCCUGUCAGGGCUGCAGAGAUGGCUCAGAGGUUAAGAGCACCGGCUGCUCUUCCAGAGGUCCUGAGUUCAAUUCCCAGCAACCACGUGGUGGCUCCCAACCAUCUGUAAUGAGAUCUAGUGCCCUCUUCUGGUGUGCAGAUGUACAUGGAAGCAGAAUGUUGUAUACAUAAUAAAUAAAUUAAAAAAAAUUAUUUUAUGUGCAUUGGUGUUUUGCCUGCAUUUGUCUGUGUGAGGGUGUCAGGUCCCAUAUAACUGGAGCUACAGACAGUUGUGACCCA
rnacentral:lncRNA from 1 species